GACGAACGCUGGCGGCGUGCUUAACACAUGCAAGUCGAGCGGAAAGGCCCUUCGGGGUACUCGAGCGGCGAACGGGUGAGUAACACGUGAGUAAUCUGCCCUUGGCUUUGGGAUAACUACCGGAAACGGUGGCUAAUACCGGAUACGACAACCGUCUGCAUGGGCUGGUUGUGGAAAGUUUUUUCGGCCAGGGAUGUGCUCGCGGCCUAUCAGCUUGUUGGUGGGGUAAUGGCCUACCAAGGCUUCGACGGGUAGCCGGCCUGAGAGGGUGACCGGCCACACUGGGACUGAGACACGGCACAGACUCCUACGGGAGGCAGCAGUGGGGAAUAUUGGACAAUGGGCGGAAGCCUGAUCCAGCAACGCCGCGUGAGGGAUGACGGCCUUCGGGUUGUAAACCUCUUUCAGUACCGACGAAGCGCCGAUGAUGGUGGUGACGGUAGGUACAGAAGAAGCACCGGCCAACUACGUG
rnacentral:rRNA from 1 species